rnacentral:rRNA from 1 species
CCCGCGGCAAGACGGAAAGACCCCGUGAACCUUUACUAUAGCUUGACACUGAACAUUGAGCCUUGAUGUGUAGGAUAGGUGGGAGGCUUUGAAGUGUGGACGCCAGUCUGCAUGGAGCCGACCUUGAAAUACCACCCUUUAAUGUUUGAUGUUCUAACGUGGACCCGUUACCCGGGUUGCGGACAGUGUCUGGUGGGUAGUUUGACUGGGGCGGUCUCCUCCUAAAGAGUAACGGAGGAGCACGAAGGUUGGCUAAUCCUGGUCGGACAUCAGGAGGUUAGUGCAAUGGCAUAAGCCAGCUUGACUGCGAGCGUGACGGCGCGAGCAGGUGCGAAAGCAGGUCAUAGUGAUCCGGUGGUUCUGAAUGGAAGGGCCAUCGCUCAACGGAUAAAAGGUACUCCGGGGAUAACAGGCUGAUACCGCCCAAGAGUUCAUAUCGACGGCGGUGUUUGGCACCUCGAUGUCGGCUCAUCACAUCCUGGGGCUGAAGUAGGUCCCAAGGGUAUGGCUGUUCGCCAUUUAAAGUGGUACGCGAGCUGGGUUUAGAACGUCGUGAGACAGUUCGGUCCCUAUCUGCCGUGGGCGCUGGAGAACUGAGGGGGGCUGCUCCUAGUACGAGAGGACCGGAGUGGACGCAUCACUGGUGUUCGGGUUGUCAUGCCAAUGGCACUGCCCGGUAGCUAAAUGCGGAAGAGAUAAGUGCUGAAAGCAUCUAAGCACGAAACUUGCCCCGAGAUGAGUUCUCCCUGAGACUUUAGGUCUCCUGAAGGAACGUUGAAGACGACGACGUUGAUAGGCCGGGUGUGUAAGCGCAGCGAUGCGUUGAGCUAACCGGUACUAAUGAACCGUGAGGCUUAACCUU